GGUUCCUACGGGAGGCAGCAGUGAGGAAUAUUGGUCAAUGGGCGCGAGCCUGAACCAGCCAAGUCGCGUGAGGGAAGACGGUCCUAUGGAUUGUAAACCUCUUUUGUCGGGGAGCAAAAGACGCCACGUGUGGCGUUCCGAGAGUACCCGAAGAAAAAGCAUCGGCUAACUCCGUGCCAGCAGCCGCGGUAAUACGGAGGAUGCGAGCGUUAUCCGGAUUUAUUGGGUUUAAAGGGUGCGCAGGCGGAAGAUCAAGUCAGCGGUAAACGUGCGAGGCUCACCCUCUUCGCGCCGUUGAAACUGGU
rnacentral:rRNA from 1 species